GUGGCCAGCCGCCGCGGUAAUACGGAGGGUGCAAGCGUUGUCCGGAAUCACUGGGCGUAAAGGGUGCGCAGGCGGGGCAGCAAGUCAGAGGUGAAAGCCCGUGGCUCAGCCACGGAAGUGCCUUCGAAACUGUUGCGCUUGAGUCCCGGAGAGGUUGCCGGAAUUCGUGGUGUAGCGGUGAAAUGCGUAGAUAUCACGAGGAACACCAGAGGCGAAAGCGGGCAGCUGGACGGGUACUGACGCUCAGGCACGAAAGCGUGGGGAGCAAACAGGAUUAGAAACCCUAGUAGUCC
rnacentral:rRNA from 1 species